GUGUUUGCUUUGGCAGCACAUAUACUAAAAUUGAAAUGAUACAGAGAAGAUUAGCAUGGCCCUGGAGCAAGGAUGACAUGCAAAUACGUGAAAUGUUCACUUUUUUU
rnacentral:snRNA from 1 species